GAUGUUUUUACCUCUGUGUUAACCAGCAAGUGCUCAAGCCACAUCAUCCAAGUUGCAGAAGGCAAAGCCAGGAACUAGGAGAGUGAAGAACCACCCACUGUAGGAGAAGAUCAGGUUUGAGACCAUUUAAGGAACUUAGAGGUCCAUGGGACCUGAUGAGAUCCAUCCACACGUCCUGAGGGAACUGGCAGACGAAAUGGCUAAGCCUCUAUCCAUGAUACUUAAGAAGUUGUGGCUGUCUGGUGAAGUUGCCACUGUAAAAGAGAAAACAUAACCAGAGGUGUUUGAUAUCUCUUUAGCCAACAGGAGCAGGGGGUUCAGGGGCAUCCUCAUUAAGCUUGCUGAUGACACCAAACCACAUGGUGCAGGUGCCAUGCUGGAGGGAAGGGAUGCCACCCAGAGGGACCUGGAGAGGUAGAUGAGAUGGGCCCAUGUGAACUCAGAAAGUCCAGUAUGGUGAAGAUUAAAGUCCUGCACGUAUUACUGGGUAAUCCCAAGCACAAAUACAGGUUGGGUGGAGAAUGGAGAAGGACUUUGGAGUGUUACUGGAUGAGAAGCCCAGCAUGUCCCAGCCAUGUGUCCUGGAAGCUCGGUUGAUCCCCCAGUGUGGGCAGCAGGGGAGGGAGGGUUUCUUCUGCCUCACUCAGGUGAGACCCACCUGGAACACUGCAUUCAGCUCUGAGGCCCCCAAAAUAGGAACAACAAGGACCUGAUGGAGUUAAUCCAGAUGAUGCUAUGAAGAUGCUUUGAGAGCAUCCUCUACUCUGGAGACAGGCUAGACAUGUUCAGCCUGGUGAAGAGAAGACUCAAGAAGACCUUCUAGCAACCUUCCAGUGUCUAAAAGGGGUUGGAAGUGAGCUGGAGAGGGACUUUUGACAAGGACAAGAGGGAAUGACAUCCCACUGACAGAGAGCAGGUUUAAAUUGGAUAUUAGGAAGACAUUCUUCCCUAGGAGGGUGCUGAGGUCCUGGCAGUUUACCCAGAGCAAACUCUGAAAGUGUUGAAGACCAGACUGUAUGGAGCUUAGAGCAGCCUGGGAUAGUGGAAGGUGUCCCUGGGAAAGGCUGAAUUGGUCUCUGUUUUUUCCUGGUUGGUGAAUUUGGCAGCAGAAGCACGUAGAUGGGAGACAGGCUUUCAGCUGAGUCCGUGGUAUGUUUAUCUUAGCAGAAAUGGAAACAAGGAUCAACUAAGAACUGCAAGUCCUUUUCUGAGCUUGUCUUUUGGAUGUCUGAGCUGAACUUUGUGUUGGUGAACGGUUUUCAAAUUCUGCAGGAGCAGAAAUUUCUGCAGGAAUUUAAAUGUAGACUCUGUAAUGAUCCAUAAUCAUUCCCUGUUGAAAGUAGCAUGAAUAAUCAAAUGGCAUACAUUUCUACAAGCCCAAAUGUUUACCUCAAGGAUUUAUUUUAUUUAUGGUGCAGAUUGACAGGUCACACACUUGGAAAAAAGACAUGGGAAACAACUGAGGUCCUGUCCUGAACUGGCAAUAUGGGUACUUUCUGAUUAAUUAAAACAUCACCAAGAAAAGAAAGAAACAUCUGUUGUUGAGCUGCACUGAUCCACAUAGCAGAAAUCACAGCACCUCUUACAACACUCACCUUAGCGAAAAUUCAUGCACAGGGUUAUAAUAACCCUUCUUGGAGAAUCUCCCACUUCUUUUGCAAUUUCAAGUGUACAGAUUGGUAUAUCUGCACUAAUGUAUGUAUGCUCUUCUUCAUAUAUCAAAAGUGACCUCACAUCUCUCUCUGAGACCCACCCCAGUAGUGCAGCUGCACCCCAGCCUCUUAUUUCUGUGACAAAAUAUUUGUCCCUUAUACUAUCUUGCCCGGUCUAUGACUCUCAGGCACCAGCACUAUCACACUAUCAUAGAGAUUGUUCCUCUGCUUUCAGAAUCCUACCAGCACAUCCGCCAAAUGCUUUUCAUAAUACUUACUUCCCUCUGAGUGGCUUGCCUAAUGUAUUCCUCUUAGGCAUUUCUUGCAGGAUUCACACCAUCACAAGGGAAAGAUAAAAGCUGACAUUCCCAUUGUACAGCUGGGAUAGCUGCAGCACAGACAUACCAAGCAAUCCAUCCCAGGUCGUGCGGUGAGUCGGUGGGAAAGCCAGCAAUAGAAUCCAUAAGUCCUGAAUCCAAGUUCUUUAAGUGCUUUGACUAGUCCAGAUUCCCUCCUUAACACCCUUGUCACAUUAUUUAUAGGAGAUGUAUUCAUAUAGCCACUAAGACAUCAAAAUUUUCUAAUUAUAUCUAGUCAUGUCAAAUGACAAUUAUGCCCUUAGUUCAGUUUGCCAGACAAUGCUUAGCCAAAGAGGGUUUGCCAAAAUAUUUUUGACCGAAGAAAGAGUAGGCAUCUGUAGCAUCUGCAGGCGAGAUCGUAUAAAACGUCCCUGCAACACGUCUGCCCUGGCUCCACAGAAAGCUCCAAGUACUGACCAGCUGCCAGCCCACAAGCCACACAUCUGGUGUCACAAGAGAGUUCUCUGCUGACAAGCCCCUCCAUAAAGUGCAGCCAUGUCUUC